rnacentral:rRNA from 1 species
GAUGAACGCUGGCGGCGUGCCUAAUACAUGCCAGUCGAGCGAACGGACGAGAAGCUUGCUUCUCUGAUGUUAGCGGCGGACGGGUGAGUAACACGUGGAUAACCUACCUAUAAGACUGGGAUAACUUCGGGAAACCGGAGCUAAUACCGGAUGAUAUUUUGAACCGCAUGGUUCAAAAGUGAAAGGCGGUCUUGCUGUCACUUAUAGAUGGAUCCGCGCUGCAUUAGCUAGUUGGUAAGGUAACGGCUUACCAAGGCAACGAUGCAUAGCCGACCUGAGAGGGUGAUCGGCCACACUGGAACUGAGACACGGUCCAGACUCCUACGGGAGGCAGCAGUAGGGAAUCUUCCGCAAUGGGCGAAAGCCUGACGGAGCAACGCCGCGUGAGUGAUGAAGGUCUUCGGAUCGUAAAACUCUGUUAUUAGGGAAGAACAUAUGUGUAAGUAACUGUGCACAUCUUGACGGUACCUAAUCAGAAAGCCACGGCUAACUACGUG